UACGUAGGGGGCAAGCGUUGUCCGGAAUCAUUGGGCGUAAAGCGCGUGUAGGCGGCUCGGUAAGUCCGCUCUGAAAGCCCGGGGCUCAACCCCGGGAGGCGGGUGGAUACUGCUGAGCUCGAGUCCGGAAGAGGAGUGUGGAAUUCCUGGUGUAGCGGUGAAAUGCGCAGAUAUCAGGAGGAACCCCAAUGGCGAAGGCAGCACUCUGGGACGGUACUGACGCUGAGACGCGAAAGCGUGGGGAGCAAACAGG
rnacentral:rRNA from 1 species